rnacentral:rRNA from 1 species
AAAAACAUGUCUUUUUGUUUAUGAUUUAAAGUUUGACCUGCCCAAUGAUUAUUAUUAAAUGGCUGCAGUAUUUUGACUGUACAAAGGUAGCAUAAUCAUUAGUUUCUUAAUUAGGAGCUGGUAUGAAUGGUUUGAUGAGAAAUUUACUGUCUCAAUUUAAUUGUUUUAGAAUUUUAUUUUUAAGUGAAAAAGCUUAGAUUUUUUAAAAAGACGAGAAGACCCUAUAGAGUUUUACAUAGUGAUAAUUUUUUAUUAAUGAUUUUAUUAUUUUUUAUUUUUUAUUAUGUUUUGUUGGGGUGAUGCGAAAAUUUUUUUAACUUUUCUUUAUUUUUACACUGGUUAGUGGAUUUAUGAUCCUUUAUUAGAUUAUAAGAUUAAAUUACCUUAGGGAUAACAGCGUAAUUUUUUUUGAAAGCUCUUAUUGAUAAAAAAGUUUGCGACCUCGAUGUUGGAUUAAAGUUUAUUUUUGGUGUAGAAGCUAGAAAAUUAGGUCUGUUCGACC